rnacentral:misc_RNA from 1 species
UAGGGAGACCUAAUCCAUUUAGAAAUCGAAAACAAUGAAAAUUGUCAAUAGAAACUAAAUUGGUCUAACCUAGGUCGUUCGAGAUUGGUAGACAUCUUUCAAAGUAUUAUUCGGCUUCGUUCAAAACCAUAUAUAAUAAAUGGAAAAAGACAGCACCUAAUUGUCAAAGUUAGACUGCUGGAUGAAGUUCCAGCCAGAACCUUGAAAACUGCACAAGAGAACAAGAAAAAGCAGGCAGACACAGACAUUUAGAUGGAUGUGGAAGCAAAAGAAAUUGU